CAGCCUCUGAUGCUCCCUUCCUAUUCCAUGGCUUCAGGUGCCAUCCUCUCCACAGAGACGGUUUCUAUUGUGACGCUCUCCCUGACUUGGAAGAAUGGCACUGGGAACAUUCCCCUUGGUGCUGAUGUCGGGGAGGAAAGCAGUUUCCAGUCGCCUGGGGCCAGGACAUGGCGUUCCCAGCUGUUGUAGAGCAUGAAGCACCAGGAUGCCCAUUCGGGUGCCUGCUGAGAUCAGGCUCUUUGAGAAGGAAUCCUGUGGUCGCCUGAGGAAGUCCAAAAAAAUUUCGAGGACAUCUCAGCCAUCCAUCCCCUGUUCACUGUGGAGGUUGAACACCGGGGCUCCUGGAGGGGGGCCCUGGGUCUCCACAGAAGUGCUGGCAGCCACCAUCCACUUCCUGGCCUUCCGUGCCCGC
rnacentral:lncRNA from 1 species